rnacentral:rRNA from 1 species
AGUGAACGCUGGCGGUAGGCCUAACACAUGCAAGUCGAACGGCAGCACAGUAAGAGCUUGCUCUUACGGGUGGCGAGUGGCGGACGGGUGAGGAAUACAUCGGAAUCUACUUUUUCGUGGGGGAUAACGUAGGGAAACUUACGCUAAUACCGCAUACGCCCUACGGGUGAAAGCAGGGGAUCUUCGGACCUUGCGCGAUUGAAUGAGCCGAUGUCGGAUUAGCUAGUUGGCGGGGUAAAGGCCCACCAAGGCGACGAUCCGUAGCUGGUCUGAGAGGAUGAUCGGCCACACUGGAACUGAGCCACGGUCCAGACUCCUACGGGAGGCAGCAGUGGGGAAUAUUGGACAAUGGGCGCAAGCCUGAUCCAGCCAUACCGCGUGGGUGAAGAAGGCCUUCGGGUUGUAAAGCCCUUUUGUUGGGAAAGAAAAGCAGCAGGUUAAUACCCCGCUGUUCUGACGGUACCCAAAGAAUAAGCACCGGCUAACUUCGUG